UACGUAGGGGGCAAGCGUUGUCCGGAAUCAUUGGGCGUAAAGAGCGUGUAGGCGGCUCGGUAAGUCCGCUCUGAAAGCCCGGGGCUCAACCCGGGAGCGGGCGGAUACUGUCGGGCUAGAGUCCGGAAGAGGCGAGUGGAAUUCCUGGUGUAGCGGUGAAAUGCGCAGAUAUCAGGAGGAACACCAAUGGCGAAGGCAGCUCGCUGGGACGGUACUGACGCUGAGACGCGAAAGCGUGGGGAGCAAACAGG
rnacentral:rRNA from 1 species